rnacentral:lncRNA from 1 species
UCUUCAAAAGACGUUCCUUCUUAGCAGCUCUAUCCUCAGGCCUGUACUUGAGGAGCAACUUGAAAAGACUUGAGGCUGCAAACAGGAUGCAAUGGAAAUAGUAAGAUAAGCUAUUACAAGUUCAAUUCUCUAGUCUCUGAGAAUAUGAAGACAGAAAUGCUCAGAGUUAAUCAUAAGUGACAGAACAAUCGCAGCUGCAUGGUACAUAGAUACACUAAAAACAGACAUAUUAUGGCAAAGAUGAAGACUAUUGACACAGCAUUAUAACCACAACAGCUAAUCAACCCUUAGCUUCCCAGCUUACACACAAUUACUCUCAUGUAAAGGCCCUUUCUUUUUAUUUUUCACUUUUUUCUUACAUUCUCAAUGCCAAAAGUUCAUAAUAUAUUCACCCACAAAGAAAAGAAAUAUAUCAGUUUUGAAAAUAAAAUCUGCUGGAUUGACAGUUAGGCAAAUCCAAGGAAAUGCGAAAGCAAAGCCAUCUAAUAUAAUCUUACCAAGAUUCUUGUCCAAAGUCUUGGUGAAUUGGUUCAAAGCAGGUGGAACCUUCAACCUCUGCCUGAGGAUCCUCCUCUGCCUCUGAAUACGAAUAGCCUUGGGCCACUUCACAUAACGGUGAAGAUCCUUCUUCGGCGGC